rnacentral:rRNA from 1 species
GCAAUGGCGGCAGACUACACAUGCAAGUCCGAGCGGCAGCACGGGUACUUUGUACCUGGUGGCGAGCGGCGGACGGGUGAGUAAUGCCUAGGAAUCUGCCUAGUAGUGGGGGAUAACGUCCGGAAACGGGCGCUAAUACCGCAUACGUCCUACGGGAGAAAGUGGGGGAUCUUCGGACCUCACGCUAUUAGAUGAGCCUAGGUCGGAUUAGCUAGUUGGUGAGGUAAUGGCUCACCAAGGCGACGAUCCGUAACUGGUCUGAGAGGAUGAUCAGUCACACUGGAACUGAGACACGGUCCAGACUCCUACGGGAGGCAGCAGUGGGGAAUAUUGGACAAUGGGCGAAAGCCUGAUCCAGCCAUGCCGCGUGUGUGAAGAAGGUCUUCGGAUUGUAAAGCACUUUAAGUUGGGAGGAAGGGCAGUUACCUAAUACGUGAUUGUUUUGACGUUACCGACAGAAUAAGCACCGGCUAACUCUGUGCCAGCAGCCGCGGUAAUACAGAGGGUGCAAGCGUUAAUCGGAAUUACUGGGCGUAAAGCGCGCGUAGGUGGUUUGUUAAGUUGGAUGUGAAAUCCCCGGGCUCAACCUGGGAACUGCAUCCAAAACUGGCAAGCUAGAGUAUGGUAGAGGGUGGUGGAAUUUCCUGUGUAGCGGUGAAAUGCGUAGAUAUAGGAAAGGAACACCAGUGGCGAAAGCGACCACCUGGACUGAUACUGACACUGAGUGCGAAAGCGUGGGGAGCAAACAGGAUUAGAUACCCUGGUAGUCCACGCCGUAAACGAUGUCAACUAGCCGUUUGGGGAGCCUUGAGCUCUUAGUGGCGCAGCUAACGCAUUAAGUUGACCGCCUGGGGGGAGUACGGCCGCAAGGUAAAACUCAAAUGAAUUGACGGGGGCCCGCACAAGCGGUGGGAGCAUGGUGGUUACUCCGAAGCACGCGAAGAACUACAGGCUGACAUCAUGACUUCUAGAGAAUAGAUUGAUGCUCCAGGUAACAUGAAACAGGUGCCUGCAUGGCUGUCGUCAGACUCAGUCUGGCAAGUUAGAUUAAGUCCGGUACCGAAGC